rnacentral:misc_RNA from 1 species
GUAGGUGAACCUGCGGAAGGAUCAUUAAUAGAGCAAUGAGCAGUCAGCGCCCCGGGAGAAAUCCUGGGGGCCACCCUCCUCGGAGGGUCUAGAGACGUCGAGCCUCUCGCAGAAGCUCGGUUCAGACCUCCACCCUUGAAUAAAUUACCUUUGUUGCUUUGGCAGGACGCCUCGUGCCAGCGGCUUCGGCUGUUGAGUGCCUGCCAGAGGACCACAACUCUUGUUUUUAGUGAUGUCUGAGUACUAUAUAAUAGUUAAAACUUUCAACAACGGAUCUCUUGGUUCUG